rnacentral:tRNA from 1 species
GAGGGUAUAGCUCAGUGGUAGAGUGAAUGUUUUGAGUGUACGAGGUCCUGGGUUCAAUUCCCAACACCUCCA